rnacentral:rRNA from 1 species
GUCUACGGCCAUACCACCCUGAACGAGCCCAAUCCUGUCUGAUCUCGGAAGCUAAGCAGGGUCGGGCCUGGUUAGUACUUGGAUGGGAGACCGCCUAGGAAGACCAGAUGCUGUAGGCG